UGGGCCUUUCUUUCUGGGGAACCUCAUGGCCUUCACUGGCUGUGGGGGGAACCAGGACUUUUACUGUGAAAAAAUUAGAGUGUUCAAAGCAGGCCUUUGCUCGAAUACAUUAGCAUGGAAUAAUAGAAUAGGACGUGCGGUUCUAUUUUGUUGGUUUCUAGGACCGCCGUAAUGAUUAAUAGGGAUAGUCGGGGGCGUCAGUAUUCAGCUGUCAGAGGUGAAAUUCUUGGAUUUGCUGAAGACUAACUACUGCGAAAGCAUUCGCCAAGGAUGUUUUCAUUAAUCAGGGAACGAAAGUUAGGGGAUCGAAGACGAUCAGAUACCGUCGUAGUCUUAACCAUAAACUAUGCCGACUAGGGAUCGGACGGGUUUCUAUGAUGACCCGCA
rnacentral:rRNA from 1 species